AGUUAACCUAACCUGAAGAGGCCUUGGGUAAUCUUUUCAAAUUGCAUCGUGCUUGGGAUAGAUCUUUGCAAUUAUAGGUCUUGAACUAGGAACUCCUAGUAAGCAUGGGUCAUCAACCCAUGUUGAUUACGUCCCUGCCCUU
rnacentral:rRNA from 1 species